AACGAACGCUGGCGGCGCGCCUAAUACAUGCAAGUCGAGCGAGAAGGUGUAGCAAUACACUUGUAAAGCGGCGAACGGGUGAGGAAUGCAUGGGUAACCUACCCUCGAGUGGGGAAUAACUAGCCGAAAGGUUAGCUAAUACCGCAUACGUUUCCGGAACUUCGGUUUCGGAAAGAAAGCAAUACCGUGGGUAUUGCGCUCCUGGAUGGGCUCAUGUCCUAUCAGCUUGUUGGUGAGGUAACGGCUCACCAAGGCUUCGACGGGUAGCUGGUCUGAGAGGACGAUCAGCCACACUGGCACUGCGACACGGGCCAGACUCCUACGGGAGGCAGCAGUAAGGAAUAUUGCGCAAUGGACGAAAGUCUGACGCAGCGACGCCGCGUGGGGGAUGAAGGUCUUCGGAUUGUAAACCCCUUUCGGGAGGGAAGAUGGAGUGGGUAACCACUUGGACGGUACCUCCAGAAGCAGCCACGGCUAACUUCGUGCCAGCAGCCGCAGUAA
rnacentral:rRNA from 1 species